GAGUAACUUAUCCGUGGCCACGAUCUAAUAUGGUAAAUGGUGUCUGUUUGACCAAGUACUCACCCUCUCCGUUAUCCUGCCUCAAGAAAGACAGUGCGUGGACUCACUGAAGCAUCAAUAUGAUCAGAAAAGUUGGAAUGGAAUCCCUCCUUGGUUCAGAAAGCUGAGGGUGUGACUUCUCCAAGGCUGCCCAGCUCUGCGCUCAUGUGAGAGUUAUACUAUUCCCCAGGAGGCACUGCUAAUGAAGAGGAAAUACUGCUUCCAACUCCAUGCUAUCUGUUCACCUUUCAAAGGACCUAAUUUCUCCAAAAGUUAUAAAGAAUAUAUAACUAAUGAAGCAAAACAUGUGCUGAAAAAUGCAGGUGUUACACAUUGCACCUUCAGCAUCCAUUCAGCCGGCAAGUGAGUGCCUACUGUAUGCCAGACCCCAUACAAUUGGAGAAUCAGUGGAUUAACCUGGGAAGAAGAAAUCCUGGUCCUAAACUCCUGGAAGGGAUAGUCCUCAGGGAGAUGAACAAAGCCAGUGAGAUCAGCAGAGGAGUGAGGAGAUCUGCUGAAGCAUACCUGAGGACUAGGAGUCUUGUGAGUGGCCAUAAUCCCUUAGAGAAAAACCAC
rnacentral:lncRNA from 1 species